rnacentral:rRNA from 1 species
UACGUAGGGCGCAAGCAUUGUCCGGAAUUAUUGGGCGUAAAGAGCUCGUAGGCGGUUUGUCACGUCUGCUGUGAAAUCCCGAGGCUCAACCUCGGGCCUGCAGUGGGUACGGGCAGACUGGAGUGCGGUAGGGGAGAAUGGAAUUCCUGGUGUAGCGGUGGAAUGCGCAGAUAUCAGGAGGAACACCGAUGGCGAAGGCAGUUCUCUGGGCCGUAACUGACGCUGAGGAGCGAAAGCGUGGGGAGCGAACAGG